rnacentral:rRNA from 1 species
AACGAACGCUGGCGGCAGGCUUAACACAUACAAGUCGAGCGCCCCGCAAGGGGAGCGGCAGACGGGUGAGUAACGCGUGGGAAUCUACCCAUCUCUACGGAAUAACGCAUGGAAACGUGUGCUAAUACCGUAUACGUCCUUCGGGAGAAAGAUUUAUCGGAGAUGGAUGAGCCCGCGUUGGAUUAGCUAGUUGGUGGGGUAAAGGCCUACCAAGGCGACGAUCCAUAGCUGGUCUGAGAGGAUGAUCAGCCACACUUGGACUGAGACACGGCCCAGACUCCUACGGGAGGCAGCAGUGGGGAAUAUUGGACAAUGGGCGCAAGCCUGAUCCAGCCAUGCCGCGUGAGUGAUGAAGGCCCUAGGGUUGUAAAGCUCUUUCACCGGUGAAGAUAAUGACGGUAACCGGAGAAGAAGCCCCGGCUAACUUCGUGCCAGCCGCCGCCUGUAAGAC